UACGUAGGGAGCAAGCGUUGUCCGGAAUCAUUGGGCGUAAAGAGCGCGUAGGCGGCCGUGUAAGUCCGUUCUGAAAGUCGGAGGCUCAACCUCCGAAAGCGGAUGGAUACUGCACGGCUAGAGUCCGGAAGAGGCGAGUGGAAUUCCUGGUGUAGCGGUGGAAUGCGCAGAUAUCAGGAGGAACACCAACGGCGAAGGCAGCUCGCUGGGACGGUACUGACGCUGAGGCGCGAAAGCGUGGGGAGCAAACAGG
rnacentral:rRNA from 1 species